CUUGCCCCAAAGGCAUUACAAGUGUAACUGCUGUGCCACAUGUGUGUCAGUAGGUGGCAGAGAGGAGAGAGUCUAUGUCUACUUUCAGUGUUCUGACCUAUGAAUAUUAUAAUGAUUAGUAGCCUAACAUU